rnacentral:ncRNA from 3 species
UUGGUGGUUCGAGCCCACCCGGGGGCGCCA